GAGCAGAGAGAUUAGAAAAACCCACCAUAAAUGUGGGUCUUUCAUUAUGAGUAAUCAGACUUUAUGAAUCGUCCCCUUGACAGACUUCUGGUCCCCUGUUCAGUCUCACACUCGGUGGGUCCCGGGAAACAGCUUCUUCUGCCUCCUCGUCCAUGGUAGGUCAGAACCAAAGAAACCAUUUUGAUUAGUAAGAUAAAUGUCCUGUCAUGUGGAACAUUGAUUGUGUAAAUUAUUGUAAGUCUACUUUGGUUAUUUUAAGGGUUAAAUUACAGCAGAAACCCCGAGCGCACGUUUGUGUGUUUCUUUUGAACUUCUGCAGAAACGUGACUGAGCUUCAUCACCACAGUCCUUUAUUGUGUCUGCCGGGUUUCCCUCCUUAUUCUCUCGUCUUCGCCCUCUGUUCUCUCCUCAGAUGCAGCAGCUCUGCUACCUUGCAAUCACUUUCUCGUGCACCCUGUGUUUCGCACCUUUGCUGCGUUCCUUAGGGUGCAAUGAAACACAAUAUCGCAGCAGUCAUGGUGAACAAAGCUGCUGUAACAAGUGUCGGCCAGGUCACUAUGUGGUUCAGCACUGUACUGCCUCCUCUCCGACUAAGUGCAAGCCGUGCGAGGAUCAGCGCUACAUUCAGACGUACAACAUGGAGUGGAGCUGCGACUUUUGUGGAAGCUGCAGUGCAUCAAACAUGGAGUACAAGUCACACUGCAACGCCACCCAUGACUCUGUGUGCAAAUGUAAACCGGGCUAUGAAUGCACAGACCGGCCCUGCACGCAGUGUCGGCCGGUGUCGCCGACCACCAGACCCCCACCCCCUGUAACACCUGUCACUGUCAUCACCGUGGAAACAAGCAAAGGUAAAGUGCGCUGCGCUUCCUGUGCAGCCAUAAAAAAGACGUGUUUAAGGUGUUUACGCGUUACUAAAAUAUCUCUUUUGCACACGUCUACAGAUACGCUGUGGCUAAUGCAAAUGGCUGCUUUUCUGUUGAUAACAGUUGCAGUGUGUGUUGUCUUGAAAAAAAAAGCAGGUCAGCAGUGGAUCACAUCCAAAUGUGGUUACCUGUUGGCUAAAACACAUGAGCCGGUGUCACCGUGCUCCGAUGAUGAGGAAGUAACAAAGCCUGUGCAGGAAGCUGGGAAUUUUGCUAAAAUCGAAAUAGAUCCUUGA
rnacentral:lncRNA from 1 species